UACGGGGGAUGCAAGCGUUAUCCGGAAUCAUUGGGCGUAAAGCAUCUGUAGGUGGCUUGGUAAGUUGAUUGUUAAAUAGUAGGGCUCAACCCUAUCCCGGCAAUCAAAACUACUAGGCUUGAGUGUGGUAGGGGCAGAGGGAAUUCCCGGUGUAGCGGUGAAAUGCGUAGAUAUCGGGAAGAACACCAACGGCGAAAGCACUCUGCUGGGCCAACACUGACACUGAGAGAUGAAAGCUAGGGUAGUCAAUGGG
rnacentral:rRNA from 1 species